rnacentral:rRNA from 1 species
CGAUUUCGAACAAGUAGAGUUUCGAAAGAUGAAAAGCACUUUGAAAAGAGAGUUGUUCAGCACGUGAAAUUGUUGAAAGGGAAGCGCUGGCUCCAGACUCGCCCGCGGGGUUCAGCCGGCAUUCGUGCCGGUGUACUUCCCCGUGGGCGGGCCAGCGUCGGUUUGGGGGGCCGGUCAAAGGCCCCUGGAAUGUAGUGCCCUCCGGGGCACCUUAUAUCCAGGGGUGCAACCGUCCAGCCUUUACCGAG